GUAGUUUUGGCGCACGGGCUUAGUUGCUCUGCGGCAUGUGGGAUCUUCGCGGAUCAUGGCUCAAACCCGUGUCCCCUGCGUUGGCAGGCGGGUUCUUAACCCCAGCACCACGAGGGAAGUGCCUGAAAUGUGGUUUUAUCCCAGU